UACAUGGAAUUUCGAGUGAUGCCGCGC
rnacentral:sRNA from 1 species